CGGUGACAAAACGCAGACUGCUAACACUCCUCGCUGAAUUAUUCAUUCUGCCGAUUAUCUUAAUAAUGAUUUCUGUGAACGGCUUGGUAAUUUCCUUGCCAGUGGCUUUAGUAAUUUUCUUCGCCAUUAUAUUUCCACCAAUUGUGUUCAUGAAUUACAAAUUGUUUAAGAUUUCAAGGAAAGGGCGACGCGACAACACAGCAUCACCCGAUGUAUCAACCUCGCGUGUUAAUUUAAAGAACAUUCAUACUUGUUUGUUGGCAGUUGCCUGUCUCGUGUUGAUGUAUACUCCUUCAUUCUUCUUCAUUGCGUUUAACUUCGCUGAGAAAUCGAUGUCAGAAAAUACGAGCAUAUCUCGGUUUUGGGCUGCCACCGUAGCUACUGCGAAUUCUACAUUGAACUGUGUGAUAUUUUUCUGGAAGAAUGACGUUUUACGUGGAGAAGGAAUAAAGGUAUUGAAGACCUUGAAAAACCGUAUUUUCCCGUGCUGAAGCUGGCCUAUGUAGUUUAUCAUUGGUUCCAUAAGACUUACAAUUCAUCUUGUUGACACUAUAACACGUCUGUCGUUUUAUAGGUCAAUGUUAAAAAUCAGCGAAAUGUGGCGAGUAUAUUGCAUUUUAUUAGAAAACAGUUGGAUAGAAUUGUGACUAAUAAUAACGGGAAUCACCGAGUAUUUUUGUAUCACUGUCCCUAUUUAGCCUAUGCGAAUAAUAUGAGUAUCAAAAUCUCUAUCUUGCUAUAGUCAGCAAUUGUACCUGAUGAAAUCAAUCGAGGUGAGAUUAAGCUUUCAACAUGGAACAAGUGCUUAUGCCC
rnacentral:lncRNA from 1 species